GCGUUAGGAAGGUAUUAGGCGACGUGCCCGCCUGCCUAAUAACCUAGCCCUAAUUGCUGUGUGUAACGUUUCCAGACCGUUUACCCUGCAACGUAUGGUGCAAAGUGCCGUAUUAAGACCUUUCCCUUAAGGAAAAGAAGAAGGAAAAAAGAAAAAAAAGGGGGAAAAAGAAAACAGGGUAAAGAGAAAAAGAUCAUGCAUAAACCUAAGCGUUUCACUGGAAGUAAAACGCGAGUUUAUCGCUUCCUUACAGAGAUGGAACCAAGGACAGCAAAUGCUGACGAGGAGAAGAGACGGACGAGCGUUUGCUUGCGGUUAAUACCGAAGGGACGGGAUGAAACAAGGAAGCCAGAAUGCAGCGGCCCCUCGAUAUCACCAGGAACUGCUACAGGAGGAGGCGUUCUGGCACGGGUAACUAGGGUAAGUAUCGCUAAUGACCGUUAGCAGUUAUUUCGGCCUCCCCGAGGCAGCGCUGAGGACUAAGUAACCUGAGGGGCUCUGGCCUGGGUUAGGGCAGAAGUGCAGGCAGGCGGGAUCAGGCAUUUUCCUCUCAGCUCUCCAAGCUGAAUCCUAGCCCUGAAGGAAAAAGCACUGGGGGGAGGCUACUCGGACACCUGCCACGUCGAGGGCAGGGGCAGGAGCUGACCCUUCCCCGACGGACGGACGGACGGACAGACGCUGGUGCGGCGGUGACUCUUUGGAUAUCGUAGGUAAGGGGAGGCACGCUGGUGCCGAGCUCCAGGGCGGUUUGCCUGAACACGAUGCCCGGGGCAGGAGGUUACGCAUUGUGUCCGGGGCUGGGAGCUGGUCCCCGAGUCCCAUGUACUUGGGAGUGCCUGCGCUUGCCAGGGAGCCCGGUGCUGUUCCCAGAGCUGCGGGGAAUUUCCCUUGCGUUGCCUGGACCCUCGGGGCUCUUGGGGGUGUUUCCCCUCAUCGCAAGGGCAGCCAGAGCCCCUCCAGGGCUGCGUGAGGUCCCCGAACCACUCCCGGAUUUGCUUUUGGCACUCCGCAGUGUCGCUCGUGUGCCUGGGGCAGCCUGCAGGCGCCAUCCUGUCAGCCGCGUUGAGCCCUGCGGCGUGCCUGGUGACCCCUCUGGUGUGCGCCAAGGCCCUUCCUCUGUAUUUUGGUCUGCCCCAGAGCCCUGCACUUGCCCUCUGAUGCCCUCAGGACCCCUCAGUUCACAUUCUGGGUUGCCCCCGAGCCCUCUGCGUGCCUUUCGGUGCGCCCCGUGGCCCCGUGUGUGUUUUGCGGCACGCCGCAGAGGUCUCUGUUUAGCUUUUUCUCCUGUCCUGGAGUUUUCUGGGUGCUUCUGGGUGUGCCCCAGGGCCCUCCUUUUGGUGCCCCCAGAGUCACUCUGUUUGCUCUAUUAUUGUUUUUUUUUUUUUUUUUUUUCUUGACUUGUGUUGCACCCAGAGCUCUCGAUUUGUUCUCUUGUGCUCCGCAUACUCCCCUUUCCGCACUCUACACCCCAGGCAGGGCUCUCCCUUCAGCUCUCAGCAAGCUGCUGUCAGGAGAGUGGGGGUGCCUCUGCUGCCCUGGCAGCCCCAGCUGUCCCUGAAGGGGCUGAUGGCCAGGCCCCCUGCCCAGUUCCUGCAGGCCCACAGCUGCGGGCCCUGGGGCUGGGAUGAAUGCCAGGGGGAGCUGGGUGGCAGGACAGGCCCCAGAAUUUGCUUUGGCUGUUUGUAUUUUGCGUUGUUACUGCACGCGCGUACGUGGAAAGGGAAAGACAGAACGAAUGCUCUCUUAGAUUAAUUGCCACGGCUGAGGUUGAAGAGAGUAAAAAACGUGAGCAAGCUGAAGUAAUAGAAUCCAAGGGAGCCAAGUGAAAGCUGUCUUCCUCUGCCAGAAAAAGGGAAAGCCCGUUCCUCCUGGCAAGGAAGGAGCGCCAUUAAUAGCGAUCCGAAUAAUAGAUCGCCAGCGUAUAACGGAAGGUCUGUAUGCAUUACGAGAAGUGCUGUGCGUACAUGUGUCUCCAUGUGUGUGACUUUACGUGCCUGUGAAGCAUCAUGCUUCACGAGCUGCGAGACAGCAAAUUAUUAUCUUGGGGGAGUGGUGGUCAAGUGACCAGAGCUACUGAAGAGGAAGGGAGCGAGAGAAGGGUCUGAAGUGUAAAACUGAGAGAUCGAUUUCAGGAAGGCUUAAUCAGCGCAAGCCCCGGGUUAGUUACCUGGCAAUGGUAUUUGGGGAGACGGGAUGACAGUAGAUAGGUUGAAGCCUCAUGGAAUUAAGGCUCCUUCUCACCAGUUCCCGCUUAGAGCAAUUGUAGGAGGAUUUAGUUUCCUCCAGCAGCAUUAAGGUGGCUUUGCCGGUGUCAGCAGACCACGGUGGAAAGUACUGGGAGGGAGUCGGAAAGGGAGCUGGGAUGAGGAACGUGACUCUGCUUUCACUGAACUGGAAGAAGUGGCUAUAAAACCUCCUGCCCUCAAAUUCCCAGGACAAGGAAAGCCUUUUUCGGUAAUGCUUUCCACAUCUGCUGACUGCGUGGGAGCAGCACCACUAGAAAACGGCAGUAAAGGAAAGCGGGUGCCAGUCGCCUCACCUUUACGUCCCCUUUGGGGGUGGAACAAAAAGUCUCUGGCUGUGAGAAAGACUGUUCAGCAGCGAUGUGGGCUGUAACCGUCUUUGAGACUUUUAGCUUUGAUCGCGCAGGGGCCAUCCAAUCUAUUCAGUUCUCUCUAAAGUAAUCACGUCAGGGAAAUGAAGAGACAGCGGAGUAUCAUCUAUCCGAGUGGCGCAGUGGGCGCUGAUCUUAACGAGCGGGGGCAGGGGGGCAGUUGCUGUGCAAGUGUUACAAGCAGUGGCUCUUCUUGUGCGCGUCUGAAUUGACUGAGGGGCAGAGCACGGUUGCGCCAAAAACGCGGACGCAGGAGGUUUCCGAGAGGUUGAUCUCUAGCGGCUACUUAGUCUGACUUCCCUUUCGCGGCAAGCCCGACUGUCUUCAUAGCUCUCAGAACAGGGGUUAGGGGAAGCGGUACUUGUGGCUUGCGUAUUCUUGUUUACCUUGCUUGAGUGUGUAUAUUGGAUCCACUUUUGUGCUUAUAAACAACUUUGGAUUCUUAUGAUUUUCUGCAGAGCUUUGAUCUUUUUCUUUUUUUCUUUUUCUUCUUGGUUUGUUUUUUUUUUUUUUGCUUUGCUCCCUCCCUGAUGGAUUUUACUACGCCUCCGUCAACGAGCCCUGGCUGGCAAAGUUGCUGUGUCCCAGCGGAGACUCUUAGGCGAGAUGGAGGAGUUCAGAUCCGCAGCCUGCCAGAAGAACGUCGCCCAGGAGGGGUUGCUAGCCUCGAGCUAUAGGCGCUGGCGUUCAGGACCUCGGGGAACGACUGUGUGCUGCCGUGAAGAACUACAGGCUACCACCGCUCUCGGACCUUUGUAAGUUAUCACGCGUCGAGAGCUUCCAGGAGAAUUCAAAUGCCAGCAGAAAGGUUCUCCGCCCGGUCCCGACGAGGAGGCUUCGGCCACAGGAAGGUCGUCAGCGUCCUUACCGGACUCGCGGGAUGCUGUUCUGAGGGCCAGCAACUCGAAGGGAUGCAGCUCGGCCCUUUUUGUUGACUUUGGUGAUGCUGUUUUGAGGAAGCAUGUAAGUACAGAAGGGGUCUGGGAGGGUUUUCAAACAAGACGGGAAAGAGCAAGGAAGAUUUGAGAGCGUGGAAAAACUAGGUGCCGCGGGUACUGAAGUUGUUACGGGCUGAGGGCGUUUGGCGUUGAGCAUCUGAGAGGGGCUAAUGCACGAGGAACGGUAAAAUGCUGUGACUGAACGCGAGGUUCCUCCCCGGCCUGGGCCCGUGUGUGCACCCUCGCUCCCACAGACACCCCGGAGCCGUAGGGAAACGGGUGAGCAGGCCCACGAGCGGACUUUGGGCACAGCGGUGCGCAGAGAGCGCUGCGGGCUCAGCCGGUGGGGUGGAGUCGGAGCAUGGCGAGCCAGGCUGUCGGGAUCCAUCCGGUUCCGCUCCCUGCCCCUCUGUCCAGCGCUCCAUCCUUCUCUUUCUUUCCCCGUGGCUCUGUCCAGUGCCCCAUCCCUUUGUUUAGCUACUCGUUCCUCUGCCCAGCUCCCCCAUCCCUCUUGUACUCUUUCCAUCUCUGUGACAAUAUCUGCGUCCAUCUAACUGGCUCUCUAUCGCUCUAUCCAGCUCUUCAUCGUCCUCUUCCUCUUCCUAUCCCAGUACCUGCCCGCUGUCCUUCCGUGCGGCUCCCCAUCCGUCUGCCGCUCUCGUCUGCCUUUCUGCCUGUACUUCUCUUUGCCUUCCCAGCCCUCUGUCCACCCCUCCAGCCAUCUCUCUCUAUUUCCAUCCCUCUGCUCAGCUCCUCAUCCAUCUAUUUGCCUCCCUAUCCCUCUUUUCCCCUGUUUUGUCCCAUCUCUCUGUCUGAAUUGCCCUCCCUCUUUUUCUCUCUCCACCUUUCUGGCCAGCUCUUCGUCGUUCUCGUCCUCUUCCCAUCGCUCCUACUGGCUCCCUGUCCCUCUCUUCCUGUCCCCGUUCCUCUCUCUGGUUCUCCCCCCUUCUCUGUUGCUCCCUUGCCGUUCCUCUGGCCGUCUCGCCUUCCCCAUUUUUCUCUCUUCUGCUCCCCGGUCCUCUGUGCAGCCCUCCCUCCAUCUGUGUGGCCCUCUGUCCCUCUCUUUCUCUUCCUUUGUCCAGUGCCCAGACCCUGGGGCCGGCUCUCUGUCCCUCUCUUUCUUUCUCCCUCCAUCCAUCUGCCAAGCUCUCUGCCCCUCUUUUCUUUUGUUCUCCCCCCUGUCCCCGCGUCCAGGUGGAGGUCUGUUGUUCCUUUGCGUUUUGUCUGGUGCGGCGGGUGGCGAGAGGUGGUCGGCGCUCGGCAGAGAUGGUGAUCGGCAGCGCCCGGAGGGUGCCGUCGGUCUGGUUCGGGUCACGUCGGACACCUCCGCGGGGACUCUGCCCGCGGAGGCGCGGGGCUGUGGCUGUGCAGCGGGGGAGCGCUAGCGGGCUAGAGAUGCCGUGGGGUACGCGGCAGGCAGCGAAGAGGCUCCUGGGGAAGGUGUCACGGAGGCAGAGAGCAGCAGAGGCUCCGAGACCUUGGGCGUUAGGACAGGCGCUCGCGGUAGGGCGGUCUGGAGCUGCUGCUGCUGUCUGUCCUACUCGUCAGCGCGGUCUGCAGUUACUGCCUCUUGUCUGCCUGCGCGCAGCCAGGGCUGUCACGUGGUGCAGCUUGAGUUGUGAUUGCGAUGCUGGCAUUGAGCCCACUUUUCUGUCAGGUCUGCCUUUAUGCAAAGUGGUGUCUUCCCUAUGUCUACAGCUCAACCCAUGUUGUUGAUUUAGUGCUUCCUGAGGGGAUAUGCUGUGCUGUCAACACGCACACCCACCACACCCCUGCCAUCGCUUCCUGAUGAAUGCAGUCAUUUACAUAGCUUCUGGCUUGUUUCUUUCCUUGGAACUCCUUUCUCUUUGCUGUUCUGGUCCCUCCAAACAAUUUCUGUUUCUAGCAUUAUUAGUGUUGGGCCCUAAACCUUCUAGACCUUCCUUCUUUGAAGUCCAGAGGUUCCAGUAUUGUUUGUACUUUGAGAGUAAAGGUCCUUCACAACUCAUGUCUUAAGUAUGCAACUGCCUUACCUGGGAUUUUCGUUUUCGCAAGUUACUGUUUCUUUCAGGAGCCAGCUACAACAGUAACUUUGCUAUAGCAGAGAAAUGGGGUUACAUGUGUAUGAGCAACAGCACCGUAGUACACAGCAAAGCCAUAAUCUACAGUACUGGUAGCACAAGUCAGUUUCCCAUCAGCUCCAUCUCUCCAGGGUUUGGAGGUUUUGGAGGCCUUACUUUUUAUCCUGCCUUGGCUGGACGGUGCUUUCUGAGAGUGUCCAUCAGAGGCAGAGUUUCCCUGCGGAGGACCAUCUAGCAAAGGCUGGAGGCGGCCGGGUGCCUGAGCGAGCCUGCCUGUCCGUGAGAGCUGCUGUGACAACUUUGUGAUGAAAUGGAGCCAGAGAGGGUGACUGAAGCAGCACGGAGGGUCAGUCAUAACUGUGGGAACAAUUACGGGCCUUGGACUAGGGAGUAGUUCUAGGAGGGCUGUGCAGUUGCCCGGCCUCUAACUAACUGCUCUGGCCUCUUUGCAGGUGCCGAAGCCCAGUCGGGCAGUCGAAGGAGCCUUGUCACAGCUGGGAGCUCUGCGGAGAUGCGCGGCUGGCCAUGGAGAGUGAGCUCUGACUUGCAGCGUGGACACAGCUAAGUCCUGGGCUGCAUCAUAUGUGAGCAGUGCUGGGAGGUGCGAGGUGAUUGUUCCCUAGGUGGUCACUGGUGUCACUGGCUGUGGAUGUUUGCCCAUGGAGCUGAGAGGACCAAAAAUAUUAAUUGUCUGACCCGGAGAUGAAUUAGUGCUUGCAGUGCUUCAGGAAAAAGCAGAGGAGUAGGCUGUCAGCUACUCGGACACCUGCCACAUCAAGGGCAGCAGCAGGAGAUGACCCUUCCCUGAUGGAUGGAUGGACGCUGGUGUAGUGAUGACUCUUCAGGCAUCACAGGUAAGGGGAAGCAUGCUGACACUGAGCUCCAUGGCAGACUUGCUUCCAGCUAUUGUUUCUGCGCAGUAAAACAAUAAACAGUUGCUUUAUUCUUUGCA